rnacentral:misc_RNA from 1 species
UUUCCGUAGGUGAACCUGCGGAAGGAUCAUUAACGAGUUAGGGUCUUCUAGGCCCGACCUCCCAACCCUUUGUUUACUGAACCAUUGUUGCCUCGGUGGGUCCGUCUUACGACCGCCGGGGGAUCGCCGCGAGGCGCCCCCUGGCCAGCGCCCACCGAUAGCCCGACCUUUAAAACCCUUUGUGAAUCGUGUCUUAUGUCUAAAUUUAUGAUUAAACAAUCAAAACAAAACUUUCAACAACGGAUCUCUUGGUUCUG